GGGCUCAUGAUGUAACGGUAACAUACCCCCUUGGCGUGGGGGAGACUCCGGGUUCGAUUCCCGGUGAGUCCA
rnacentral:tRNA from 1 species